GGUCCAGCGAAGCUAGCAGCUGUCCUGGCCCUGCCUGCUGUCAGCUACAAGUAGAAAACAGAUGCUGCUCAUGUUGCAUUGGUUGCAGGAUCGCUCCCCGGACCUUCAAGAAAGCCGGCGCAUGCACCAAGUAGCAGAGAAAAACAAUGAUACCAGCAGCUCGA